rnacentral:lncRNA from 1 species
UUUUUACUCUCCUUCUUUCUCAAGCUUCGUCAUUCUACACAAACCCUAAAACCAAAGUUGUUCAUCAGGUUCUUUCGUUCAAUAAUCCUUCGUCGCCGCUUUCAUUCUUCGUUGUGGCGAUCAGAGGUUUGAUAAAUGUUCAAUUCCCCACAAACCCUAAAACUAAAGACGCCAUUCAUCUUUAAUCGUUUUUCGUCGAUUCAAGUUUGAUAAACAAAGAUUUUCAAUCAAAUCUUUGUUGAUUCCGAUGGUGCCGUCGUCAAAGAAGAUAAGUGCACCGGUGAGGAAUUGUUUUGGAACGAUCGGACGGGAAUGUGUGAUUAAGGCGUAUCACUUUCUUGUGGAUCUAGGUCAAAAGGAUGAAAAAUCUCAGGGAAUGAUGUAAUAUUUUGGCUCGUAGAUAAAUAUGGGAUCAACGAUGUUAAUGAUGCUACUAAGUAUUACAAGAUAGUUGUUGAGCGUGGGUUCACAAGAGGACGAAUAACGGCACAAGUUGCAGUUGCUUACCUCUAUGUUGUGUGUCGGUAAGUGAUUACUAAUAUUCCAGUUUUGAUUUAUUUUUUUUGGUUUUAACAAGUGAUGAUAGCUUCUUGGUACAAAUCAAUCUAAUUAUAUAGAAGAUUACAAAUUGGAUCAACUGCCAUGAUUGGAAGUACGUUGGUAUGUAUGUAAUAAAACCAUUCUUUUUCCCGUUUCUUCAUAUAUCAGAGUAUAGGAUAUAUUGUAUUCUACUUGUUGAAGUUGUAAUCUUUUAAAGUUAUAUUCUGAGUUUAACUUGAAAAACGAACACGUAAUCAAUCAGACCAGUUGCUUUGGUUUAUAACUUGGGUGUAAGGGGCAUUUAUGAAUGUAACUAUCAGUGUAAGCAUACAAUGGAAUUACGACACCUUUGGUAGAAAGAUGAAGGCUGUUGGAGCAAGUGAUCAUGGAGUGAGAUUGAAGCCAACUCUUAACUUACUAACAAAAACAAAUGUCAAUUUCAUAUUUACCAAAAGAUCAUCAUCAGUUAUGGAGUGGUUGGAGAUGAAGUGAUGAUGAUAGUGAUGGUUUCCGGUGACCGAACGACCGGAAUGAAAGCAGUGGUGAUGGUCGAUAGUGGUGGUUGCGGUUCAAGUUGGUGACGGUGAUGGUCGAUAGUGGUUUUUUUAAUUAAUAUUUUGAGGAUUGUUGGAAGGAGGUUUGUUAAGGUGAGUUCUAUUGGAGUGACCUAUGGUUGAGGUGUUUUGUGAGUUUGGGAGGGAAUUCAUUCCCAAAGCUCAAUACAUAAAUAAACAUACAUUGGACGCGGAAUCCGUUUUGAUGUCGGGUUAUCUUAUACCCGUUCAUUCGGAUCUAUAUAAAAGGCACUACCCAGUAAUUCAGACCACUUUCUUUCCUGUUCCCUCUAAACCCUGGCCGACAACUUCAUCGUAUUCUUUGUUCUUCUUUGCUAAUCUGCCCUCUCAAUUCGAAGAUGAAGAUGAGCAUCAGUCUUGAUGUAAACUCCAUGGCGUCCAGGCUAACAAGAGAUCUGGGCACUCCAAAUAAGUGAGACAGGCAAGAGUAAGACAGCCGCAAAUAUCUUUUUUCGUGCUCACAUGAAUUGGAACCUUUAGUUAUGUUUUUGGAUGAUAUUAUUUUUUUGUUUAAUUUUAUAGUUCAUUUUUAGUUUUGUAAAUCAUGAAGAAUAAGAGCCUUUUAACAGCUGCUUAAUAACCCAUUUUCUCAAGUGUUGUUGGUGCUGGUAUAUUUGCUUUAAGAAGUAUUGGUUAGAAAUUGGAAGGAUAUAUGCUCGGUUCUGAAAGACGCUGUCAAAGUUGGAGUAGGUGGGGAAGAAAAGUUGGGGGACAAAGCGCGGAUGGAGAGGGAAAAAAAUUCUUAGUCACUCAGUUUAUAAAUGAGGCGGCAAAUCGGAUCCGGAACAAGGUGGCGGCUGAAGAUUUUAGAUGGAACCUAUGAGUUCUAAAAGAGGUCCUUUUCUUUAUCUGGAAGCUCGUGCAGGGCUGCAUCGCUGAAAAAAUUGUGCUUCUGCAGCGUGGGGUUUCUAUUAUGUUAACGAGAGUUUUGCCUAUUGAGGAGAGACUCGGAACUUUGGAAGUGAUGGGUUCAAAAGCAUCUCAGCUCAUAUAAAAGAUAUUACAUCCAGUUAUGAAGCAGUUUGCUCCAGAAGAUGGUUUGGUUUCUUUGAUGGUUUGCUCUAGAUCUUGUGAUAACGAGUUUAAUUUGUUACAUCCUAUGGAUAUUGUUGGCAAAACGAAAGAGCAUACUUCUCUCCUGAAAGGGUCACCGUGGUUUCCAUAUGCACCCAAUAACAAAUUCAAUUUGGCAGGUGGCAGGAUACUGAGUUUCCUGUGACAUAAAGAGACCGUCUAGGUCUUCGAAGAAGAGCAAAACAAUUUACUUAAACAUAUGGAGAAAAGAGACACGAAAUAUAUGCGCCUUCAGAGGCAUAAAAUGGGUGCCGAUGAUUUUGAGCCAUUAACAAUGAUAGGAAAAAGGUCCAUUUGGAGAGGUUAGAAUAUGUAGGGAGAAGACUACCGGCAAUGUGUAUGCAAUGAAAAAACUUAAAAAAGUCUGAAAUGCUUCGUAGAGGACAGGUUGAACAUGUGAAAGCAAAAAGAAAUCUACUU